AAAAAAAAAAAGAACACCAUUUCUUCCCUCUCUCUUGCAUCGUCGCCCAUCAAUUCACUACCAUUGCCAAAUUCUAUCUGACAUCAGAGUAAUCAACAUUGUCGUCGCCACCUCUCAAUAUCCUUGGGUUAUUUUCAUUUUCAUUAAAGUGAAGCAAAAGGAGGAGAAAGAAUAGAUAUUUCAGUGUAAAGAUUAUUUUUCAAAACAGGAUUGUUAAAUUCCAGUAACUAUUGGCAGCAAUUGUGUUGUUAUAUUAAUAUGCACUUGUGACAUCUUCAUAUCUACAAAAAUUUUAUGAGAAUUUCAUGCUCA